AAUCAGAGCUGCAGUUGCCAGCCUACACUACAGCCAGAGCAACGUGAGAUCCAAGGCUUGUCUGUGACCUACACCAUGGCUCACAGCAAAGCCAGAUCCUUAACCCACUGAGCAAGGCCAGGGGUGGAACCCAGAUCCUCAUGGAUACUAGCUGGGUUUCUAACUUUUUGAGUCACAACAGGAAUUCCCAGAAAUUUUUGUUUUUAAAGUGAUGGUAGGAGAUGGGAUUAAGAUGGUGGAAUGGAAGGACUGGAACUUAACUUCUCUCCUAAAAACAAUAAAAUUUACAAUCAAAUGCUGAGCAACCUUCAACCAAAUGGAUCAGAAACUUUCAAAAAGAUAUCCUAACUCAGAAGACAAAGGGGAGGCCACAUCAAGGGGUAGGAGGGGUGAUUACAUGAUAUAAGCAACCCCAUACCUCACGGGUGGGAAGCCCCACAGACUGAAAAGUAACUCUUUCACUGAGACUCACCUACAGGAGUGAGAGUUCUGAGCCCCACAUCAAACUCCCACAUGUGGGUGUCUGGCACUUGGAGAAAGAGCCCCUGGAGCAUCUGGCAUUGAAGGCCAGUGGGGCUUGUAUGCAGGAGCUACAUGGAACUGGGUGAAAUGGAGACCCCAUUCUUAAAAGGCACAGACAGACUUUCACAUGAACUGAGCAAAGCAAUAAAAUUUACAACCAAAUUGUCCCAGGGCAAAGCAAAGUCUCCAUAGGAAUCAGGGUCAAACCUGACUGCAGUUUUUGGAGGACUGCCUGGGAAAGCAGGCGUGAAUGUGGCCUGUUGUGGGGGAAGGACAUUGGAAGCAAAGCUCUUGGGAAUAUUCAUCAGCAUGCCUUUCUUUGUAGGUGGCCAUUUUUGGAAAAUCUGGCCCCACCUGUCAGUCAGCUGAGAAGCCCCAGGCCAAACAACAAUCCAGGUGGGAUCACAGCCUCAUCCAUCAGCAAACAGGCUGCCUAAAGAGCCCCUAGGCACAGAGCCACCACUUAUCUCACCCAGAGACAAAGCCUCACCCACUAGAGGGAUAGGCAUCAGCUCUACCAACCAGUGGGUAGGCAUCAGCCCCUCCCAUCAGGAAGCAGAGAGCAAGCCCCUAUACCAACUUCAGCCACAAGGGAGCAGAGACCAUAAGUAAAAGAGGCUACAACCCUAUUAUCACUAAAAAGGUCACCACACCAAAAACCUAUAAAAAUGAAAAGACAGAGAACUAUAACUCAGAUGAGGGAGAAAGGAAAAACCCCAGAAAAACAGCUAAGUGAUGAGGAGAUUCUCAGCCUCCAGGAAAAAGACUUUAGAUUGUUGAUACUGAAGAUGAUGCAAGACAUUGGAAAUAAACUGGAGGCAAAGAUGGAUAAUUUACAGGGAAACACUGAGCAAAGAGAUACAAGAUAUAAAAUUUAAACAAGAAGAGAUGCAAAAUAUAAUAACUGAAAUAAAAAAUCAUUAGAAGCAGCCAAUACAGGAGGCAGAAGAACAAAUAAGCAAGGUGGAGGACAGAUUAGUGGAAAUUGUGGAUUUGGAACAGAAAAGAGAAAAAACAGAAAACAGAAAAGAUUGAAAACAAAUGACGAGAGAAUAAGAGAACUCUGGGACAACAUGAAAUGCAACAACAGCUGUAUUAUAGGGGUACCAGAAGGAGAAGAGAGAGAGAAGGGGACAGAAAAAUUAUUCCAAGAGAUAAUAUCUGAAAACUUUCCUAACAUGGGAAAGGAAGCACUCAGUCAAAUCCAGGAAGCACAAAGAGUACCAUACAAAAUAAACCCAAGGAGGAAUACCCUGAGACACAUGUUAAUCAAACUGGCCAAAAGGGGGGGGUGACAUGAUAUACUUAACGUGAUAAAAGGAAAAAAACUCCAACCAAGAUUACUUUACCCAGCAAGGCUCGCAUUCAGAUUUGAAGGAGAAAUCAAAAGCUUCACAGAGAAGCAAAAGCUAAGAGAAUUCAGCAACACCAAAACAGCUUUACAACAAAUACUAAAGGGACUUCUCCAGACAGAAAAGAAAAGGCCACAACCAGAAACAAAAAUACCACAAAUGACAGGCUCACUAGAGAAGGCAUAUAUGCAGUAAAGAUAUAAAAUCAUCCAUGCACAAUUAUCUCACCAAAAUCAGAAAUCAUGAGAAGAGGAGGGUACAAAUGCAGGAGACGCACUUGCAAUUAAGAGACCAACAACUUAAAAAAUCACUUAUAUAUAUAGACUCAUAUCAAAACUUCAGAAUAACUGCAAACCAAACAUCUACAAUUGAUACACAAACUAAUAAGAAAAAUCAACUCAAAAACAACACUAAAGACACUCAUUAAAACAGAAGAGGUGAGAACAAGAGAAGAAGGGUAGGAAAAAGAGCAACAAAAGAGAAUCCAAAGCCAUUAAUAAAAUGGCAAUAAGAACAUACAUAUCCAUAAUUACCUUAAAUGUUAAUGGACUAAAUGCCCCAACCAAAAGGCAUAGACUGGCUGAAUGGAUACUAAAACAAGACCCCAUAUAUAUGCUGUCUUCAAGAGACCCACUUCACUUCUAGGGACACAUACAAAUUGAAAGUGAGAGCAUGGAAGAAAAUAUUCCAUGCAAAUGGGAAUCAAAAUACAGCUGGAAUAGAAAUACUCAUAUCAGACAAAAUAGACAUUAAAAUGAAGAAUAUUUUAAGGGAAAAGUAAGGUCACUACCUAAUGAUCAAACGAUCCAUCCAAGAAGAAUAUAUAACAAUUUUAAAUAUCUAUGAACCCAAUAUAGGAUCACCACAACAUAUAAGGCAACUGCUAACACUCUUAAAAGGAGAAAUAAACAAUAACACAAUAACAAUGAGGGAUUUUAACACUCCACUUAUACCAAUGGAUAGACCAUCCAGACAGAGAAUCAAUAAGGAAACACAGGCCCUGAAUGAAGCAUUAGAACAGAUGGACUUAAUAGAUAUUUAUAGAACAUUCCAUCCAAAAGCAACAGAAUACACAUUCUUCUGAAGUGUACAUGGAACAUUCUCUAAGACUGAUCACAUCCUGGGCUACAAAUCCAACCUCAGUAACUUUAAGAAAAUUGAAAUCAUAUCAAGCAUCUUUUCCGACCACAACGUUAUAUGCCUGGAAAUCAACAACAAGAAGAAAACUGCAAAAAACACAAACACGCGGAGACUCAACAACAUGCUAUGAAACAACCAAUGGAUCACUGAAGAAAUCAAAGAGGAAAUUAAAAAAUACCUAGAAGCAAAUGACAACAAAGAUGCGACACUCUAAAACCCAUGGGAUGCAGCAAAAGUUGUUCUAAGAGGAAAGUUUAUAGCAAUACAAGCCCACCUCAGGAAACAAUAAAAAGCUCAAAUAAAGAACCUAACUUUACAUCUAAAGCAGCUCAAGAGAGAAGAACAGACAAGACCUGAAAUUAGUAGAAAGAAAGAAAUCAUAAAGAUCAGAGCAGAAAUCAAUGAAAUAGAAAUGAAGAAAACCAUAGAAAAGAUCAAGGAAAUGAAAAGCUGGUUCUUUGAAAAGAUCAACAAAAUUGAUAAACCCUUACCCAGCCCUAUCAAUAAAAAAAAGAGAGAGGACUCAAAUCAAUAAAAUUAGAAAUGGAAAAGGAGAAGUAACAACGCACAUCACAGAAAUACAAAGGGUCAUAAGGGACUACUAUAUGCAAUUAUAUGCCAAUAAAAUGGAAAACCCAGAAGAAGUGGACAAAUUCUUAGAAAAGUACAAUCUUCCAAGACUAAACCAAGAUGAAAUAGAAAAGAUGAACGAACCAAACCCACGUUCUGAAAUUGAAACUGUGAUUUAAAAACUUCCAACAAACAAAAGUCCAGGAUCAGAUGGCUUCACAGGCGAAUACUCUCAAACAUUUAGAGAAGAGCUAACACCUACCCUUCUGAAACUAUUCCAAAAAAAAUCACAGAGGCAGGGAUACAUCCAAACACAUUCUAUGAGGCCACCAUCACCCUGCUACCAAAACCAGACAAAAUAACACAAAAAAAGAAAAUUACAGGCCAAUUUCACUGAUGAACAUAGAUGCAAAAUCCUCAACAAAAUACUAGCACACCACAUCCAACAAUACAUUAAAAGGAUUGUACAUCAUGGUCAAGUGGGAUCUAUCCAAGGGAUGCAAGGAUUUUUCAACACCUGCAAAUCAAUCAGUGUGAUACACCACAUUAACAAACUGAAAAAUAAAAACCAUGUGAUCCUCUCAAUAGACGAAGAAAAACUUUUGACCAAAUCCAACACCCAUUUCUGAUAAAAAUCCUUCAGAAAGUGGGCAAAGAGGGAAACUACCUCAACAACAUAAAAGCCGUAUAUGACAAAGCCAGAGCUAACAUCAUUCUCAAUGGUGAAAAGUUGAAAGAAUUCCCGCUGAGAUCUGGAACAAGACAAGGAUGUCCACUCUCGCCACUACUAUUCAACAUAGUUUUGGAAAUCUUAGCCACAGCAAGCAGAGAAGUAAAAGAAAUAAAAAGAAUCCAAAUUGGAAAGGAAGAAGUAAAACUAUCCCUAUUUGCAGAUGACAUGAUACUAUACCUAGAGAAUCUGAAAGACUCUACCAGAAAACUGUUAGGGCUCAUCCAUGAAUUUGGCAAAGUUGCAGGAUACAAAAUUAAUACACAGAAAUCGAUGGCAUUUCUAUAUACUAACAAUGAAAGAUCAGAAAUAGAAAUUAGGGAAGCAAUCCCAUUUGCUGUCGCAUCCAAAUGAAUAAAAUACCUAGGAGUAAACCUACCUAAAGAGACAAACGACCUGUACUCUCAAAACUAUAAGACACUGAUGAAAGAUAUCAAAGAUGACACAAAUAGAUGGAAAGGUAUACCGUGCUCUUUGCACAGUAUCAAAAUGACUAUACUACCCAAGGCAAUCUACAGAUUCAAUGCAAUCCCUAUCAAAUUACCAAAGACAUUUUUCACAGAACUUGAACAAAAUUUUCAAGUUUGUUUGGAAACACAAAAGACCCAGAAUAGCCAAAGAUAUCCUGAAAAAGAAAAACAGAGCUGGAGAAAUCAGGCUCUCUGACUUCAGACUAUACUACAAUGCAACAGUCCUCAAAACUGUAUGGUACUGGCACACAGAUAUAAAUAUAGAUCAGUGGAACAGGAAAGAAAGCCCAGAAUUAAACCCCCGCACCUACAGUCAACUAAUCUUUGACAAAGAAUGCAAGAAUUUACAAUGGAGAAAAGACAGCUUGUUCAAUAAGUGGUGCUGGGAUAACUGGAUGGCCACAUGGAAAAGAAUGAAAUGAGAACACUCCCUAUUUUUUUUACACAAAAAUAAACUCAAAAUGGAUUAAAGACUUUAAUAGAAGACCAAUUACUAUAAAACUCUUAGGGGAAAACAUAGGCUGAACACUCUCUGACAUAAAUGAUAGGAUAGCAACAUCUUCUCAGAUCCACCUCUUAGUGUAAUCACAGUAAAAACAAAAAUAAACAAAUGGGACCCUAAUUAAACUGGAAAGUUUCUGCACAUCAAAGUAAACCCUAAACAAAACAAAAAGACAACCCACAGAAUGGGAGAAAAUCUUUGCAAAUGAAUCAACUGACAAGGGAUUCAUCUCCAAAAUUUAUAAACACCUUCUGCAGCUCCAUACCAAAAAACAAACAACCCCAUCAAAAAAUGGGCAGAAGAUCUAAACAUAUUCUCCAAAGAAAACAUUGGAAUGGCCAAAAACACAUGAAAAGAUGUUCAAUAUCAGUCAUUAUUAGAAAAAUGCAAAUCAAAACCACUAUGAGGUACCAACUUACACCAGCCAGAAUGGCCAUCAUCAAAAAGUCUACAAACAGUAAGUGCUUGAGAAAAAGGAACCCUAUUACACUGUUGAUGGGAUUGCAACUUUGUGCAACCACUGUGGAAAACAGUAUGGAGAUUCAUCAGCAAACUCAAAAUAGAACUCCCAUUUGAUCCAUCAAUCCCACUCCUGGGCAUCUAUCCAGAGAAAACCAUGACUCGAAAAGACACAUGUACUCCAUUGUUCAUUGCAGCAGCAUUUUAUAUUAUUUUUAAAAAUAGUUAUUUCCCCAACACAAAUUUUUUUCUACUGUACAGCAUAAUGACCCAGUUACACAUACAUGUACACAUUCUAUUUUUGCACAUUAUCAUGCUCCAUCACAAGUGACUAGACAUAGUUCCCAGUGCUACACAGCAGGAUCUCAUUGCUAAUCCAUUCCAAAGGCAAUAGUUUGCAUCUAUUAACCCCAAGCUCCCCAACCACCCCAUUCCCUCCCCUACCCCUUGGCAACCACAAGUCUAUUCUUCAAGUCCAUGAUUUUCUUUUCUGUGGAAAGGUUCAUUUGUGCCAUUUAUUAGAUUCCAGAUAUAAGUGAUAUCAUAUGGUAUUUGUCUUACUCUUUCUGACUUAUUUCACUUAGGAUGAGAGUCUCUAGUUCCAUCCAUGUUGCUGCAAAUGUCAUUAUUUUGUUCUUUUUUAUGGCUCAGUAGUAUUUCAUUGUGUAUAUCUACCACGUCUUCCUAAUCCAAUCAUCUGUCAAUGGACAUUUGGGUUUUUUCCAUGUAUUGGCUUUUGUGAAUAGAGCUCCUAAAGCACUAUUUUCAAUAGCCGAGAUGUGGAAAAAACAUAAAUGUCCAUCGACAGAGGAGUGGGUCAAGAAGAUAUGGUACAUAUACACAGGAAAAUAUUACUCAGCCAUUAAAAGGAACAAAAUACCAGAAUUUUUAGCAAUAUGGAUGGACCUGAAAUUAUCAUGCUAAGUGAACCAGUCAGACAAUGAGACACCAACAUCAAAUGCUAUCACUGACAUGUGGAAUCUGAAAAAAGGACACAAUGAACUUCUCUGCAGAACAGAUACUUUCUCACAGACUUUGAAAAACUUAUGGUUUCCAAAAGAGACAGUUCAGGUGGUGGGGGGAUGUGCUGGGGUUGUGGGAUGGAAAUCCUAUAAAAUUGGAUUGUGAUGAUCAUUGUAAUAGUCUAAAUGUAGUAAAUUCAUUGAGUAAUUUAAAAAAAAAUAAAUAUAGUUCUAAUUUGUAAGAAAAUGAGUGCUGAACAUGGCCACCAUGUUUCUUUUAUGUACUUCUGUGUACUCUUAUAUACAUAUAUCACUUUAUCUAUACUUUGAAACAUAUAUACAUAUACUUUUACUUUUUAAGUGUUUAACGAAAGACCUACGAACCAUCCCCAGAUGUGCACUGAUACCAGCAAAGAAAUCACAUGGUAACGUUGACUAGAAAACCCACUGCUAUUUUACAAAGAGGUAUUUAUUAAGAUGUGCUUCCGUGGUCUAAUCUUUACAUACUUCCUUUCUUUAAAAAAUGUUUCUUUUAAUUUCUCUUUUUGAGUCUGGCAGGCUUUAUUUAUAUAAU
rnacentral:lncRNA from 1 species